rnacentral:misc_RNA from 1 species
GCAAACUUGGUCAUUUAGAGGAAGUAAAAGUCGUAACAAGGUUUCCGUAGGUGAACCUGCGGAAGGAUCAUUACCGAGUUAGGGUGCCCCAAGCGCCCGACCUCCAACCCUUUGUCUACCUGACCUAUUGUUGCUUCGGCAGGCCCGCCGCCGCCCUCCGGGGGGGUGGCCGCCGGGGGUCCUCGACCCCGGGCCCGCGCCUGCCGACGGCCCCAACCAAAAACUCUUGUUAAAACGUGUCGUCUGAGUACCACAAACAAAUAAAAACAAAACUUUCAACAACGGAUCUCUUGGUUCUGGCAUCGAUGAAGAACGCAGC